AUUGAACGCUGGCGGCAGGCUUAACACAUGCAAGUCGAGCGGGGACUUCGGUCCUAGCGGCGAACGGGUGAGGAAUGCUUGGGAAUCUGCCCAGUAGCGGGGGAUAACGUUUCGAAAGGAACGCUCAUACCGCAUACGCCCCACGGGGGAAAGGGGGGGAUCUUCGGACCUCUCACUCAUGGAUGGGCCCAAGUCGGAUUAGCUAGUUGGUGGGGUAAAGGCCUACCAAGGCGACGAUCCGUAGCUGGUCUGAGAGGAUGAUCAGCCACAGUGGAACGGAGACACGGUCCAGACUCCUACGGGAGGCAGCAGUGGGGAAUAUUGGACAAUGGGCGAAAGCCUGAUCCAGCCAUGCCGCGUGUGUGAAGAAGGCCUUCGGGUUGUAAAGCACUUUAAGCGAGGAUGAAUGGCUCUUGGUUAAUAACCUUGAGCAGUGACGUUACUCGCAGAAUAAGCACCGGCUAACUCUGUGCCAGCCGCCGCGGUAAUAC
rnacentral:rRNA from 1 species